GACGAACCGUCCAAACGUUAUUCGGAAUCACUGGGCUUACAGAGUUCGUAGGCGGUCUGGAAAGUUGGGUGUGAAAUCCCUCGGCUCAACCGAGGAACUGCGCUUGAAACUACCAGACUCGAGGGAGAUAGAGGAAAGCGGAACUGAUGGUGGAGCGGUGAAAUGCGUUGAUAUCAUCAGGAACACCGGUGGCGAAGGCAGCCCCCUGGGUUAACACUGACGCUCAUGCACGAAAGCGUGGGGAGCAAACAGG
rnacentral:rRNA from 1 species